GACGUAGGAGGCGAGCGUUGUCCGGAUUCAUUGGGCGUAAAGAGCACGCAGGCGGUUUGGCAAGUCGGAUGUGAAAACCCGAAGCUCAACGUCGGGCCUGCAUCCGAAACUGCCCGACUAGAGGUAGGUAGGGGAGAUCGGAAUUCCUGGUGUAGCGGUGAAAUGCGCAGAUAUCAGGAGGAACACCGGUGGCGAAGGCGGGUCUCUGGGCCGAUACUGACGCUGAGGAGCGAAAGCGUGGGGAGCGAACAGG
rnacentral:rRNA from 1 species